rnacentral:lncRNA from 1 species
GGGAUAAGUCAUGCUAUAAGUAGUCAUGUGAAUUUGGUAUUCGUUCGAUAUUUUGAUACGUUGUAUGUUGUUUUUCCUCUAGUGGUGUUAUGUGAACGUCGACUACAUAACACUUCACCAUUAUUUGGGCCUAGAGGAAGGCUUUGGGAAGUAGUAAGUAGAUGAUGGGUUGCUAGAGUGACAGAAGCUUAAACCCUAGUUUAUGUGUUGCUUCGUAAGGGGC